rnacentral:rRNA from 4 species
UGGUGGGUAGUUUGACUGGGGCGGUCUCCUCCUAAAGAGUAACGGAGGAGCACGAAGGUUGGCUAAUCCUGGUCGGACAUCAGGAGGUUAGUGCAAUGGCAUAAGCCAGCUUGACUGCGAGCGUGACGGCGCGAGCAGGUGCGAAAGCAGGUCAUAGUGAUCCGGUGGUUCUGAAUGGAAGGGCCAUCGCUCAACGGAUAAAAGGUACUCCGGGGAUAACAGGCUGAUACCGCCCAAGAGUUCAUAUCGACGGCGGUGUUUGGCACCUCGAUGUCGGCUCAUCACAUCCUGGGGCUGAAGUAGGUCCCAAGGGUAUGGCUGUUCGCCAUUUAAAGUGGUACGCGAGCUGGGUUUAGAACGUCGUGAGACAGUUCGGUCCCUAUCUGCCGUGGGCGCUGGAGAACUGAGGGGGGCUGCUCCUAGUACGAGAGGACCGGAGUGGACGCAUCACUGGUGUUCGGGUUGUCAUGCCAAUGGCACUGCC